UAAUACGUAGGGACCAAGCGUUGUUCGGAUUUACUGGGCGUAAAGGGCGCGUAGGCGGCGUGGUAAGUCAGCUGUGAAAUCUCCGAGCUUAACUCGGAACGGUCAGCUGAUACUGCUGUGCUAGAGUACAGAAAGGGCAAUCGGAAUUCUUGGUGUAGCGGUGAAAUGCGUAGAUAUCAAGAGGAACACCUGAGGCGAAGGCGGGUUGCUAGGCUGAUACUGACGCUGAGGCGCGAAAGCUAGGGUAGCAAACGGGAUUAGAUACCCCGGUAGUCCUAGCCCUAAACGAUGAAUGCUUGGUGUCUGGAGUUUUAAGUCUCCGGGUGCCGUCGCUAACGCGAUAAGUACUCCGCCUGGGGACUACGGCCGCAAGGCUA
rnacentral:rRNA from 1 species